AGCGCAGGCGGACCGGCAAGUUGGAAGUGAAAACUAUGGGCUCAACCCAUAAAUUGCUUUCAAAACUGCUGGCCUUGAGUAGUGCAGAGGUAGGUGGAACUCCCGGUGUAGCGGUGGAAUGCGUAGAUAUCGGGAGGAACACCUGUGGCGAAGGCGGCUUUCUGGGUCACAACUGACGCUGAGGCGCGAAAGCUAGGGGAGCGAACGG
rnacentral:rRNA from 1 species